rnacentral:rRNA from 1 species
CCUCGGGAGGCAGCAGUGGGGAAUAUUGGACAAUGGGCGAAAGCCUGAUCCAGCCAUGCCGCGUGUGUGAAGAAGGCCUUCGGGUUGUAAAGCACUUUCAGUGGGGAAGAAAGCCUUGGGGCUAAUACCCUCGAGGAAGGACAUCACCCACAGAAGAAGCACCGGCUAACUCCGUGCCAGCAGCCGCGGUAAUACGGAGGGUGCGAGCGUUAAUCGGAAUUACUGGGCGUAAAGCGCGCGUAGGCGGUCUGAUAAGCCGGUUGUGAAAGCCCCGGGCUCAACCUGGGAACGGCAUCCGGAACUGUCAGGCUAGAGUGCAGGAGAGGAAGGUAGAAUUCCCGGUGUAGCGGUGAAAUGCGUAGAGAUCGGGAGGAAUACCAGUGGCGAAGGCGGCCUUCUGGACUGACACUGACGCUGAGGUGCGAAAGCGUGGGUAGCAAACAGGAUUAGAUACCCUAGUAGUC